rnacentral:rRNA from 1 species
CCUACGGGAGGCAGCAGUGGGGAAUAUUGCACAAUGGGGGAAACCCUGAUGCAGCGACGCCGCGUGAGUGAAGAAGUAUUUCGGUAUGUAAAGCUCUUUCAGCAGGGAAGAAGAAAGACGGUACCUUACUAAGAAGCGCCGGCUAACACAGUGCCAGCAGCCGCGGUCAUACGGAGGGGGCAAGCGUUAUCCGGAUUUACUGGGUGUAAAGGGAGCGUAGGCGGAUGUGCAAGGCUGAAGUGAAAGCCCAGGGCUCAACCCUGGGACUGCUGUGGAAACUGGGGAGCUAGAGUGCUGGAGAGGUAAGUGGAAUUCGUAGUGUAGCGGUGAAAUGCGUAGAUAUUAGGAGGAACACCAGUGGCGAAGGCGGCUUACUGGACCGAAACUGACGCUGAGGCUCGAAAGCGUGGGGAGCGAACAGGAUUAGAUACCCGGGUAGUC